rnacentral:lncRNA from 1 species
GAGAGAAACGGCUUGGUCAUAAAGCCCAGUGCUAAUCCUCCCUGGACAGCUACCCUGGGAAUCUCCAAGACUCCUCUCUUGGCUGCCUGGCUUGAAUCUGCAAAGGGUCUGGCCUCAACAUUUCCAUUAAGGAGCAACAGGUCGGGGUUCUUGGAUCGAGGAGUGUGAAGAAAUCCUGAGUUCGGGAAGUGGCCUGGGGACUUGGGAGAAGAAUAUGGAGAUGAAUUUGGAUGAAUUUGGGCUGACUCAACUCCACCCCCAACUGCUGCAUCUGCUGUUCUAGAAAAUAGCAGUCAGAGACGGGGUCAGCUAGGCAGGGGAAAAAGAAAAAUAAAAGGCAGAGGAAGAGCGCCGAAACCACUCCGCCGAGGUCUCACUCCUCCAGAGGAGCUGCGACCGUGCAAGAGAAGACUGCG